CCCUUAGAUGUUCUGGGCCGCACGCGCGCUACACUGACUGGUGCAACAAGUGUCGCUCCUUGGCCGAUAGGCCUGGGCAAUCUUUGAACGCCAGUCGUGAUGGGGAUAGAUUCUUGCAAUUUUUGAUCUUCGACGAGGAAUUCCUAGUAAACGCGAGUCAUCAACUCGCAUUGAUUACGUCCCUGCCCUUUGUACACACCGCCCGUCGCACCUACCGAUUGAAUGGUCCGGUGAACCCUCCGGAUCGGCUCGCGCCAACGCAAGUUGAGCAAAGGCCGAGAAGUUGGGUAAACCUUACCAUUUAGAGGAAGGUGAAGUCGUAACA
rnacentral:rRNA from 1 species